rnacentral:rRNA from 1 species
AUGGCAUAUGCUCGCAUUAGCCAAAUUGAGAAUGAUACUACCUCAAUCAUAUCCCCUCAAGAAACCGAAAAUUUGUUACAAAUGAAGGGGGUGGUUCCUGUUGGACGUGCGGCCUCAUGGUUAGCUCGUGUAGCAGGAAAAUUUGUAGGGCGCCGAAAGGUGCAUGUCCCACUCAAUGUACACCAUAACCAUUGGAUGCUAAUGAUGUUUAAUUUUGACAAAAAAGAAAUUCAGACUCUGAACUCCAUGAAUUAUCAUUGCGACAAGACCAAGGAAGAUUCUCUUUUCUGCAUUGACGAAGUUGUCAAGAAAGGGUUGAUAUCACCAGCUAAUAACAUCAAUUUUGCCGAAUGGACCAAAAAAACGCUAUGA